rnacentral:rRNA from 1 species
CUUGGUCAUUUAGAGGAAGUAAAAGUCGUAACAAGGUUCCGGGAGCGGGCAGAAAUCCUUCUCAACCCUCUAUCGAAGCCUUGAAUUAGUAGUUCACUCGAUUGAAUCCAACUCAAUCAAGUGAGCAACACCGGAGAUCUGACUGGGAGUCUAGGUUUUAAGCCUAGCUACCAGCAGCCCUUUAGACAUUAAUGUAUGCUAAUUGGGUUCACAGAUCAAUUACUGGUGGCCUAAACUCAUUCACGGACACUAAUUUCUCUUCUGGGCGCUUUGGUGGACUCUUGCUUCGGUAAGAUAAUCCAAUUCUCCCUUGAUAACUUUUUGAGAGAUGAGCGAGCGUUUAAGAGGAUAAUUAGGUUAAAAUAUGACCGGCCCUAUCCAGAUAAUGGAUAGAAAAUUGUGUUCCGUAGGUGAACCUGCGGAAGGAUCAUUAAAAGGUUUCGGGUACCCAGUGCCCAAACUUCAACCCUAUGCUUUAACUAAACCUGUUUCUUUGCCGGUUUCGGCCGGCAGAAGUUUUCUCAAACUCAUUAUAAAUUUGUCUUCUGAAUCAAAAAUUAAAUAAAUUAAAACUUUCAACAACGGAUCUCUUGGUUCUGGCAUCGAUGAAGAACGCAGCGAAAUGCGAUAAGUAAUGUGAAUUGCAGAAUUCAGUGAAUCAUCGAAUCUUUGAACGCAUAUUGCGCCCUUUGGCAUUCCGAAGGGCAUACCUGUUCGAGCGUCAUUACACCCCUCAAAGUUAACUCUUUGGCGUUGGGCAAUGCCUAAAGGCAUGCCUCAAAAUCAGCGAUGGUGAUAUUCAACCACAGACGCACAAACGUUGUCUAGCUGGCGGGAUGUUGUCAGGCAAUUGAUGACUUUCUAAAUGUUGACCUCGGAUCAGGUAGGAAUACCCGCUGAACUUAAGCAUAUCAAUAAGCGGAGGAAAAGAAACCAACAGGGAUUGCCUCAGUAACGGCGAGUGAAGCGGCAAAAGCUCAAAUUUGAAAUCUGACCCUUCGGGUCCGAGUUGUAAUUUGCAGAGGAUGUUUCGGGUAAGAUUUUGGUCUAAGUUCCUUGGAACAGGACGUCAUAGAGGGUGAGAAUCCCGUACGUGACCGUUAAUCGCACCCAUGUGAAACUCCUUCGACGAGUCGAGUUGUUUGGGAAUGCAGCUCAAAAUGGGUGGUAAAUUUCAUCUAAAGCUAAAUAUUGGCCAGAGACCGAUAGCGCACAAGUAGAGUGAUCGAAAGAUGAAAAGCACUUUGAAAAGAGAGUUAAACAGUAUGUGAAAUUGUUGAAAGGGAAGCGCUUGCAACCAGACUUGUUUAUAGGGUUCAGCCGUCGUUCUCGUCGGUGUAUUUCCCUAUUAUCAGGCCAGCAUCAGUUUAGGUGGAAGGUCAAAGGUCUUGGGAAUGUAUCAUCCUCCGGGAUGUCUUAUAGCCCUCGGUGUAAUGCUUCCCUCCUGGACUGAGGAACGCGCUUUUGCUCGGAUGCUGGCGUAAUGGUUGUAAGCGACCCGUCUUGAAACACGGACC